CCUACGGGGGGCUGCAGUGGGGAAUAUUGCACAAUGGGGGGAACCCUGAUGCAGCGACGCCGCGUGGGUGAAGGAGUAUUUCGGUAUGUAAAGCCCUAUCAGCAGGGAAGAACAAUGACGGUACCUGACUAAGAAGCACCGGCUAAAUACGUGCCAGCAGCGGCGGUAAUACGUAUGGUGCAAGCGUUAUCCGGAUUUACUGGGGGUAACGGGAGGGCAGGCGGCGCGUUAAGGCGGGUGUGAAAGUCCGCGGCGCAACCGCGGAACUGCAUUGGGAACUGGCGCGCUGGAGUGCCGGAGGGGUAGGCGGAAUUCCUGGUGUAGCGGUGAAAUGCGUAGAUAUUAGGAGGAACACCGGUGGCGAAGGCGGCCUACUGGACGGUGACUGACGCUGAGGCUCGAAAGCGUGGGGAACAAACAGGAUUAGAUACCCUUGUAGUC
rnacentral:rRNA from 1 species